rnacentral:rRNA from 1 species
UUGAGAGUUUGAUCCUGGCUCAGAACGAACGCUGGCGGCAGGCCUAACACAUGCAAGUCGAGCGGAAACGAUCCUAGCUUGCUAGGAGGCGUCGAGCGGCGGACGGGUGAGUAACACGUGAGAAUCUGCCCAUUAGUGGGGGAUAACCUGGGGAAACCCAGGCUAAUACCGCAUAAUCCCUACGGGGGAAAGCAGGGGACCUUCGGGCCUUGUGCUGAUGGAUGAGCUCGCGUCGGAUUAGCUUGUUGGUGAGGUAAUGGCUCACCAAG